rnacentral:rRNA from 1 species
GUUUCCGUAGGUGAACCUGCGGAAGUAUCAUUG